AGCCAAGAAAGCUACACUGUACCAAAAGCAAUAGCCAUACUCUGUCUUAGGUUUUCUUGGGAAAUCGACUGUAAAAUAUAACCAUGGUCUUUUGAACUUACAUAUACAUCAAGCAUGAGCACAAUUUACUAAAUGGUUUCGAUGGAAAUGAAACCUUGACGACCGGGCGAGCGGCUAUGUUAGCCCACCUGCAGUCAAAUAACACAGGCAUCCAGCUAGCUAGCUAACAAGGAAUGUGAUGUUGACAAUUAUUCUAUUACACGCCAAUUUAACAAGACCAAAUUGCUCAACAUUUCGUUGGUUGACCAAGGAGGGUCCUGUGGUUGAAAACAGGGCAUUUUAAACGUUGUUGGUGAAAACACGAUUUAUUAGGAAACCCUUUUUGUUGGCUGUGGUGGUGCGGUACAUAUUCAUUUCGAUUCCCAGACUGUCGCUCCCAACCCCAAUCGCUCCCCGGUCGGCACGCUCCCACUAGCCAGACUAUCGAGCCCACCGCCAUAUAACGGAGCUAGUUAUCUUUUUGAUGUUAGUUUUUUUUUGUUUAUAACCCUAAACUUAACCCUACACCUAACCCUAACUCUAAACCUAAUCCUAAAUUGCUUGUAUGUGGCAGUGAUAAUACGUGAAAUAUAAUCGGGUGGGAUCGAACGUCUGGGAGUGAUAAAACCACCUGGGGCUACACGUCCCGGAGUGAUCUCCGUUGGGAGUGUCCAUCUGCCACCGUUCAUUUUCAUGGAGACUGGUUGUUCGUAGUUUCACCUAGGGAUGUUAUAACUUGAGCUAACAGGUGUUCGAACUAACCGUAUGUUUGGAAAGCCCAGUUGUGACUACACACCAAACUCAUAACAUAGCAUAUUGACCAGGCAAGCCUUUGAUUCGAUUUGGUCACCUAACUAUACCUAGUGUAGAGCGACUGGCCACUGCAUUGAAACGUAGGCUUCAAUGGGUUCAAAGGGUUCUAUUACGGUAAUUACUCAGUGUGCGUGGCUGCACGAACUCAGCUGACACAUCCAACACAGACUUCAAGCAGUUGAUACAGGCUGCUAUUUAGUGGUUGUGACGGCAUUUGAUUGCGUUUUUGUUUUCAUCAUAUAACAAAUUUGGCGUAACCUCUGGUAGGUACACAGAAUACAGCAGUCGGAUCACUUGUCUAGCUUACCUUGCUCCAGUGCAGGCAGCUGUGGAGUUACGUGUGAGUAGCUAUGCAACCUGCUCCCACUGUCUGUCAUUUUUUCAUUCCUAUCCGUGAAUAGCUUGGAAAGCCAGAUGCAGUCGAAUAUUGGGUUUAUGUUUCCUUGACAUUUAUGUCUCUGUUCUGACUCAGACAAUUUUCUUGUAUAGAAUUUGAGAGGCUUAUUGUGGAUCAUGGAAAGUUAUAUUCUGUAUUUUUUCCUAAUGGCCGCAAUUCUCAUCUUCAGAAGUUCCUGUUACAGACGGUCAUGAUGAGUAGAAGAAGGCAACAUGAUGAAGCAAAACUCCAUCACCACUACGUUGGAGUCUUCCCAUUCAGUCAUCAUCCAAUUUGCUCCAAAGAAUCACAUACAAGCAGACGCUUCUUACAGAUGGCUGUCCUCUAGAAUGAAAAUGCACACCAACCACCGGCAAACAUCAAAAGCUAAUCCAACCUUUGGCUUUGUGUGGAAAGGUCUUCGGAAACCCUGUGACUGAUGCAAUGUUGGUGCCCUAGAAGACAAGUCAGCACAGUUCAGACGAGCCAGCCAGAGGAGGUCACCGCCAGCCUUGUAUCGAGGUUCCAGCGUCUUCAUCGGGGAACUCGGCAUGGAUAUGCAAGACGACACUCGAAUCACUGAUGGACAAAUGCCUGAAACGGCUGGAAAAAUAGAAAAGAUGGUUACAGAGACUGUUAUUGCUGUUCUUCUUUCAGUACAAUAUUUGCCUUCCAUAAAAUAUUCACAUGUUCCAAUUUAAUAUUCUUGAUGCUGUUGUAAAUAAAAUUUGCACACUGUC